rnacentral:lncRNA from 1 species
CUGUCCUCCCCCGAGCUGGAUGCAGAGCAGCAGCAGCAGGAGAAGGAAGGGAAAGCUCCCGGUGGGCAGGUACCGCAGCCGCCGCCCCGCUUGCCUACGGCGUGAAGGAGCGCCCCGGGCCCCCAUCGCGGCAGGGCAGUGUCUCCUCCACGCGCGGUAGCCGUGCGCGCCCAGCUCCUACCGCGCACCACGCCUGCCCGGCCAGCCUCCGGGAGCCCGCUGGCUGGGCCCUCCGGGAUGGCAGCGGCUUUGCGAGGGACCCGGGCCGCG